UACAGAGGGUGCGAGCGUUGUUCGGAAUUAUUGGGCGUAAAGGGCGCGUAGGCGGUGCGGUAAGUCACCUGUGAAACCUCAGGGCUUAACCCUGAGCCUGCAGUGGGUACGGGCAGACUAGAGUGUGGUAGGGGAGAUCGGAAUUCCUGGUGUAGCGGUGGAAUGCGCAGAUAUCAGGAGGAACACCGGUGGCGAAGGCGGGUCUCUGGGCCGAUACUGACGCUGAGGAGCGAAAGCGUGGGGAGCGAACAGG
rnacentral:rRNA from 1 species